AGUCAAGAAAGCUGUGUUCUCUUACUGCAUCAGCCAUUGCCCUACAGAUGAAAACAGAACCCUCAGUCAAGUGAUUUAAAUGGCUUUAAGACCAUGAUGUACAAUGUGGGCAAACCCUUUGUCCUUCUCCUGUCCCACACUGCAGAGGAAACAUGGAAAAGCACUGUUCCUUCUGAAAGCUCCCAGUCUAAGUGCCAUCCACCUAAGCCCAAAACGUGAAUAGAAGGGGUACUACCAGCUUAAAACUUCAGCAUACCCAGCCGCUGCUUGAACAUGACUUGCUGAAAUGUCACAUCACCCUGAAGACAAAAACAUCACGUACCCUGCAACAGCUCAAUUAAAGACGGGUACCAUUCAGAUGCUGGACCUAGGCACUCCGGGACCUUUCCUAGUGGGUCAGCUCUCAGAAAGGCAGGAAGAGCUCCUGGUACAAGGGGAAUAUCAGGCAAGGAAGACAGCUCUGGGGAUUUGUGAAGUUGAAGGCAUAAGAUCUCUACACACAUCAUUUCAGCAUGUAUUUUUUUUUCUUUCUUUCUUUCCCUGCUGCCAGUAGCGUGUCCAGACUCUGCAGCUACGGAUACAGCAUUAUCAUCUGGAGUGUCUCACUCAAGUAACAGCAGCAGCCAGACUGGUGUGACCAAAAGGAACACGGAUGCACUGGUACUUCUCACCCAGCUCCCUUAGGUCCAGCCAGCGCUGUAGGUCUUUGCGGUUGUACUUGAUGGUUAACUUGCCCAGUUUCCUGUGCGACGAUUCCUCACCGGGUUUCUCUGGCGUCUGGAAAGUCACCCGGGGCAGCGCGCUGGAGUCGCUGGCCAUGCUCACUGCUUCACCACAGCAACUCCUCCGUCUCCUUUCACCAACACCUCCUCUGCCACGGGUGGCUCACAGUACAAGCUGCUCACAGGCACCCAAGAGCCCUCCGUCAGCCUGCCCGGGGAGCUGCCCUAUGGAAUGGACAAACCAGCUGAGACACUCCAUCAUGAAGCAGAACCAACAACCCCAGUGUCGUCACUUAUG